rnacentral:misc_RNA from 1 species
AUAUAUUUUUUUUUAUUUUCUGUCUUUUAUUUAAUUUUUUCCCCUCUUUCAUUCUAUUAAGAAGAAAAUAACAUAUAAGAGAAAAUCGUAGCAUAUAUUUUAAGUCAGUUAGCUGUAUGGAGAUCUAUUGUAAUUGUAUAGUAGGCAUUGUUUUGCUCCUUAUGUAUUUAAUUAUGAGGUUUUGUAUCUUAAUAUUGGCUAGAAAAUAACAUGAAAUCUUGUAUUUUUCAGAGAUUGGAGAGGUCGAGGGGCA